GGGAAUUUAGCUCAGUGGCACAGCACCUGCCUGGCAAGCACGGGGUCCUGAGUUCAAUCCCCAGUACCA
rnacentral:tRNA from 1 species